rnacentral:rRNA from 1 species
GAUGAACGCUGGCGGCGUGCCUAAUACAUGCAAGUCGAGCGAACAGACGAGGAGCUUGCUCCUCUGACGUUAGCGGCGGACGGGUGAGUAACACGUGGAUAACCUACCUAUAAGACUGGGAUAACUUCGGGAAACCGGAGCUAAUACCGGAUAAUAUAUUGAACCGCAUGGUGCAAUAGUGAAAGACGGUUUUGCUGUCACUAAUAGAUGGAUCCGCGCCGCAUUAGCUAGUUGGUAAGGUAACGGCUUACCAAGGCAACGAUGCGUAGCCGACCUGAGAGGGUGAUCGGCCACACUGGAACUGAGACACGGUCCAGACUCCUACGGGAGGCAGCAGUAGGGAAUCUUCCGCAAUGGGCGAAAGCAUGACGGAGCAACGCCGCGUGAGUGAUGAAGGUCUUCGGAUCGUAAAACUCUGUUAUUAGGGAAGAACAAAUGUGUAAGUAACUAUGCACGUCUUGACGGUACCUAAUCAGAAAGCCACGGCUAACUACGUG